UACGUAGGGUGCAAGCGUUGUCCGGAAUUAUUGGGCGUAAAGAGCUUGUAGGCGGUUUGUCGCGUCUGCUGUGAAAUUUCGGGGCUCAACCCCGAACUUGCAGUGGGUACGGGCAGACUAGAGUGUGGUAGGGGAGACUGGAAUUCCUGGUGUAGCGGUGAAAUGCGCAGAUAUUAGGAGGAACACCGGUGGCGAAGGCGCCACUCUGGGCCGAAACUGACGCUGAGGAGCGAAAGUGUGGGGAGCGAACAGG
rnacentral:rRNA from 1 species